UACGUAGGGUGCAAGCGUUAAUCGGAAUUACUGGGCGUAAAGCGUGCGCAGGCGGUUGUGCAAGACAGAUGUGAAAUCCCCGGGCUCAACCUGGGAAUUGCAUUUGUGACUGCACGGCUAGAGUGUGUCAGAGGGGGGUAGAAUUCCACGUGUAGCAGUGAAAUGCGUAGAGAUGUGGAGGAAUACCGAUGGCGAAGGCAGCCCCCUGGGAUAACACUGAC
rnacentral:rRNA from 1 species